UACGUAGGCAGCGAGCGUUGUUCGGAAUUACUGGGCGUAAAGAGUGUGUAGGCGGUGCUCUAAGUUCGGUGUGAAAUCUCCCGCUUAACUGGGAGGGUGCGCCGGAAACUGGAGUGCUCGAACGUGGGAGAGGAAAGCGGAAUUCCUGGCGUAGCGGUGAAAUGCGUAGAUAUCAGGAGGAACACCUGCGGUGUAGACGGCUUUCUGGACCAUUGUUGACGCUGAGACACGAAAGCGCGGGUAGCAAACAGG
rnacentral:rRNA from 1 species